rnacentral:rRNA from 1 species
UACAGAGGGGGCAAGCGUUAUUCGGAAUUACUGGGCGUAAAGCGUGCGUAGCCGGUUAUGUAAGUCAGGUGUGAAAGCCCCGGGCUCAACCUGGGAAUGGCAUUUGAGACUGCAUAGCUAGGGUGCGGAAGAGGGAAGCGGAAUUUCCGGUGUAGCGGUGAAAUGCGUAGAUAUCGGAAGGAACAUCAGUGGCGAAAGCGGCUUCCUGGUCCAGCACCGACGUUCAGGCACGAAAGCGUGGGGAGCAAACAGG